GGUUAAGCGACUAAGCGUACACGGUGGAUGCCCUGGCAGUCAGAGGCGAUGAAGGACGUGCUAAUCUGCGAUAAGCGUCGGUAAGGUGAUAUGAACCGUUAUAACCGGCGAUUUCCGAAUGGGGAAACCCAGUGUGAUUCGACACACUAUCAUUAACUGAAUCCAUAGGUUAAUGAGGCGAACCGGGGGAACUGAAACAUCUAAGUACCCCGAGGAAAAGAAAUCAACCGAGAUUCCCCCAGUAGCGGCGAGCGAACGGGGAGCAGCCCAGAGCCUGAAUCAGUGUGUGUGUUAGUGGAAGCGUCUGGAAAGGCGCGCGAUACAGGGUGACAGCCCCGUACACAAAAAUGCACAUGCUGUGAGCUCGAUGAGUAGGGCGGGACACGUGGUAUCCUGUCUGAAUAUGGGGGGACCAUCCUCCAAGGCUAAAUACUCCUGACUGACCGAUAGUGAACCAGUACCGUGAGGGAAAGGCGAAAAGAACCCCGGCGAGGGGAGUGAAAAAGAACCUGAAACCGUGUACGUACAAGCAGUGGGAGCACGCUUAGGCGUGUGACUGCGUACCUUUUGUAUAAUGGGUCAGCGACUUAUAUUCUGUAGCAAGGUUAACCGAAUAGGGGAGCCGAAGGGAAACCGAGUCUUAACUGGGCGUUAAGUUGCAGGGUAUAGACCCGAAACCCGGUGAUCUAGCCAUGGGCAGGUUGAAGGUUGGGUAACACUAACUGGAGGACCGAACCGACUAAUGUUGAAAAAUUAGCGGAUGACUUGUGGCUGGGGGUGAAAGGCCAAUCAAACCGGGAGAUAGCUGGUUCUCCCCGAAAGCUAUUUAGGUAGCGCCUCGUGAAUUCAUCUCCGGGGGUAGAGCACUGUUUCGGCAAGGGGGUCAUCCCGACUUACCAACCCGAUGCAAACUGCGAAUACCGGAGAAUGUUAUCACGGGAGACACACGGCGGGUGCUAACGUCCGUCGUGAAGAGGGAAACAACCCAGACCGCCAGCUAAGGUCCCAAAGUCAUGGUUAAGUGGGAAACGAUGUGGGAAGGCCCAGACAGCCAGGAUGUUGGCUUAGAAGCAGCCAUCAUUUAAAGAAAGCGUAAUAGCUCACUGGUCGAGUCGGCCUGCGCGGAAGAUGUAACGGGGCUAAACCAUGCACCGAAGCUGCGGCAGCGACGCUUAUGCGUUGUUGGGUAGGGGAGCGUUCUGUAAGCCUGCGAAGGUGUGCUGUGAGGCAUGCUGGAGGUAUCAGAAGUGCGAAUGCUGACAUAAGUAACGAUAAAGCGGGUGAAAAGCCCGCUCGCCGGAAGACCAAGGGUUCCUGUCCAACGUUAAUCGGGGCAGGGUGAGUCGACCCCUAAGGCGAGGCCGAAAGGCGUAGUCGAUGGGAAACAGGUUAAUAUUCCUGUACUUGGUGUUACUGCGAAGGGGGGACGGAGAAGGCUAUGUUGGCCGGGCGACGGUUGUCCCGGUUUAAGCGUGUAGGCUGGUUUUCCAGGCAAAUCCGGAAAAUCAAGGCUGAGGCGUGAUGACGAGGCACUACGGUGCUGAAGCAACAAAUGCCCUGCUUCCAGGAAAAGCCUCUAAGCAUCAGGUAACAUCAAAUCGUACCCCAAACCGACACAGGUGGUCAGGUAGAGAAUACCAAGGCGCUUGAGAGAACUCGGGUGAAGGAACUAGGCAAAAUGGUGCCGUAACUUCGGGAGAAGGCACGCUGAUAUGUAGGUGAAGCGACUUGCUCGUGGAGCUGAAAUCAGUCGAAGAUACCAGCUGGCUGCAACUGUUUAUUAAAAACACAGCACUGUGCAAACACGAAAGUGGACGUAUACGGUGUGACGCCUGCCCGGUGCCGGAAGGUUAAUUGAUGGGGUCAGCGCAAGCGAAGCUCUUGAUCGAAGCCCCGGUAAACGGCGGCCGUAACUAUAACGGUCCUAAGGUAGCGAAAUUCCUUGUCGGGUAAGUUCCGACCUGCACGAAUGGCGUAAUGAUGGCCAGGCUGUCUCCACCCGAGACUCAGUGAAAUUGAACUCGCUGUGAAGAUGCAGUGUACCCGCGGCAAGACGGAAAGACCCCGUGAACCUUUACUAUAGCUUGACACUGAACAUUGAGCCUUGAUGUGUAGGAUAGGUGGGAGGCUUUGAAGUGUGGACGCCAGUCUGCAUGGAGCCGACCUUGAAAUACCACCCUUUAAUGUUUGAUGUUCUAACGUUGACCCGUGAUCCGGGUUGCGGACAGUGUCUGGUGGGUAGUUUGACUGGGGCGGUCUCCUCCUAAAGAGUAACGGAGGAGCACGAAGGUUGGCUAAUCCUGGUCGGACAUCAGGAGGUUAGUGCAAUGGCAUAAGCCAGCUUGACUGCGAGCGUGACGGCGCGAGCAGGUGCGAAAGCAGGUCAUAGUGAUCCGGUGGUUCUGAAUGGAAGGGCCAUCGCUCAACGGAUAAAAGGUACUCCGGGGAUAACAGGCUGAUACCGCCCAAGAGUUCAUAUCGACGGCGGUGUUUGGCACCUCGAUGUCGGCUCAUCACAUCCUGGGGCUGAAGUAGGUCCCAAGGGUAUGGCUGUUCGCCAUUUAAAGUGGUACGCGAGCUGGGUUUAGAACGUCGUGAGACAGUUCGGUCCCUAUCUGCCGUGGGCGCUGGAGAACUGAGGGGGGCUGCUCCUAGUACGAGAGGACCGGAGUGGACGCAUCACUGGUGUUCGGGUUGUCAUGCCAAUGGCACUGCCCGGUAGCUAAAUGCGGAAGAGAUAAGUGCUGAAAGCAUCUAAGCACGAAACUUGCCCCGAGAUGAGUUCUCCCUGACUCCUUGAGAGUCCUGAAGGAACGUUGAAGACGACGACGUUGAUAGGCCGGGUGUGUAAGCGCAGCGAUGCGUUGAGCUAACCGGUACUAAUGAACCGUGAGGCUUAACCUUAC
rnacentral:rRNA from 1 species